CCUCGGUGGGCACAGGGCAGCCUGGCGGGGAAACCGUUACCAUUACUGUGUUUAGUAAUGGUAAGGGUUCUCCCGCUGCGCUGAGUGUCGGUGCCGGAGCCG
rnacentral:pre_miRNA from 15 species